UAGUCGAUGGGAAACAGGUUAAUAUUCCUGUACUUGGUGUUACUGCGAAGGGGGGACGGAGAAGGCUAUGUUGGCCGGGCGACGGUUGUCCCGGUUUAAGCGUGUAGGCUGGUUUUCCAGGCAAAUCCGGAAAACCAAGGCUGAGGCGUGAUGACGAGGCACUACGGUGCUGAAGCGACAAAUGCCCUGCUUCCAGGAAAAGCCUCUAAGCAUCAGGUAACAUCAAAUCGUACCCCAAACCGACACAGGUGGUCAGGUAGAGAAUACCAAGGCGCUUGAGAGAACUCGGGUGAAGGAACUAGGCAAAAUGGUGCCGUAACUUCGGGAGAAGGCACGCUGAUAUGUAGGUGAAGCGACUUGCUCGUGGAGCUGAAAUCAGUCGAAGAUACCAGCUGGCUGCAACUGUUUAUUAAAAACACAGCACUGUGCAAACACGAAAGUGGACGUAUACGGUGUGACGCCUGCCCGGUGCCGGAAGGUUAAUUGAUGGGGUUAGCGGCAACGCGAAGCUCUUGAUCGAAGCCCCGGUAAACGGCGGCCGUAACUAUAACGGUCCUAAGGUAGCGAAAUUCCUUGUCGGGUAAGUUCCGACCUGCACGAAUGGCGUAAUGAUGGCCAGGCUGUCUCCACCCGAGACUCAGUGAAAUUGAACUCGCUGUGAAGAUGCAGUGUACCCGCGGCAAGACGGAAAGACCCCGUGAACCUUUACUAUAGCUUGACACUGAACAUUGAGCCUUGAUGUGUAGGAUAGGUGGGAGGCUUUGAAGUGUGGACGCCAGUCUGCAUGGAGCCGACCUUGAAAUACCACCCUUUAAUGUUUGAUGUUCUAACGUUGGCCCCUAAUCGGGGUUGCGGACAGUGUCUGGUGGGUAGUUUGACUGGGGCGGUCUCCUCCUAAAGAGUAACGGAGGAGCACGAAGGUUGGCUAAUCCUGGUCGGACAUCAGGAGGUUAGUGCAAUGGCAUAAGCCAGCUUGACUGCGAGCGUGACGGCGCGAGCAGGUGCGAAAGCAGGUCAUAGUGAUCCGGUGGUUCUGAAUGGAAGGGCCAUCGCUCAACGGAUAAAAGGUACUCCGGGGAUAACAGGCUGAUACCGCCCAAGAGUUCAUAUCGACGGCGGUGUUUGGCACCUCGAUGUCGGCUCAUCACAUCCUGGGGCUGAAGUAGGUCCCAAGGGUAUGGCUGUUCGCCAUUUAAAGUGGUACGCGAGCUGGGUUUAGAACGUCGUGAGACAGUUCGGUCCCUAUCUGCCGUG
rnacentral:rRNA from 1 species